rnacentral:rRNA from 1 species
UACGUAGGUGGCAAGCGUUGUCCGGAUUUACUGGGCGUAAAGCGUGCGCAGGCGGUUCGUUAAGUCAGAUGUGAAAGCCCCGGGCUCAACCUGGGAACUGCAUUUGAAACUGGCGGGCUUGAGUGUGGCAGAGGGGGGUGGAAUUCCGCGUGUAGCAGUGAAAUGCGUAGAGAUGCGGAGGAACACCGAUGGCGAAGGCAGCCCCCUGGGCCAACACUGACGCUCAGGCACGAAAGCGUGGGGAGCAAACAGG